GAUGAAGAACGCAGCGAAAUGCGAUAAGUAAUGCGAAUUGCAGAAUUUCCGUGAGUCAUCGAAUCUUUGAACGCACAUUGCGCCCGCCAGUAUUCUGGCGGGCAUGCCUGUUCGAGCGUCAUUUCAACCAUCAAGCCCCCGGCUUGUGUUGGGGACCUGCGGCUGCCGCAGGCCCUGAAAACCAGUGGCGGGCUCGCUGUCACACCGAGCGUAGUAGAUUUUCAUCUCGCUCAGGGCGUGCUGCGGGUUCCGGCCGUAAAAAGCCUUAUUUACCCAAGGUUGACCUCGGAUCAGGUAGGAAGACCCGCUGAACUUAAGCAUAUCAAUAAGCGGAGGA
rnacentral:misc_RNA from 1 species